rnacentral:tRNA from 1 species
GGCCGCCUUCGACCCGCGCANNGGUAGAGCAGAGGACUGAAAAUCCUCGUGUCCCCAGUUCAAUUCUGGGAGGGGCCACCA